rnacentral:rRNA from 1 species
GAUGAACGCUGGCUACAGGCUUAACACAUGCAAGUCGAGGGGAAACGGCAUUGAGUGCUUGCACUGAAUGGACGUCGACCGGCGCACGGGUGAGUAACGCGUAUCCAACCUUCCCGUUACUGCGGGAUAACCUGCCGAAAGGCAGACUAAUACCGCAUGUUCUUCGAUGACGGCAUCAGAUUCGAAGCAAAGAUCCGUCGGUAACGGAGGGGGAUGCGUCUGAUUAGCUAGUUGGCGGGGCGACGGCCCACCAAGGCGACGAUCAGUAGGGGUUCUGAGAGGAAGGUCCCCCACAUUGGAACUGAGACACGGUCCAAACUCCUACGGGAGGCAGCAGUGAGGAAUAUUGGUCAAUGGGCGGAAGCCUGAACCAGCCAAGUAGCGUGCAGGAGGACGGCCCUACGGGUUGUAAACUGCUUUUAUGCGGGGAUAAAGUGAGGGACGCGUCCCUUUUUGCAGGUA